rnacentral:rRNA from 1 species
GACGAACGCUGGCGGCGUGCUUAACACAUGCAAGUCGAACGGAAAGGCCCUGCUUUUGUGGGGUGCUCGAGUGGCGAACGGGUGAGUAACACGUGAGUAACCUGCCCUUGACUUUGGGAUAACUUCAGGAAAAUGGGGCUAAUACCGGAUAGGAGCUCCUGCUGCAUGGUGGGGGUUGGAAAGUUUCGGCGGUUGGGGAUGGAAUCGCGGCUUAUCAGCUUGUUGGUGGGGUAGUGGCUUACCAAGGCUUUGACGGGUAGCCGGCCUGAGAGGGUGACCGGCCACAUUGGCACUGGGAUACGGCCCAGACGCCUACGGGAGGCAGCAGUGGGAAAUAUUGCACAAUGGGCGGAGGCCUGAUGCAGCAACGCCGCGUGCGGGAUGACGGCCUUCGGGUUGUAAACCGCUUUCGCCUGUGACGAAGCGUGAGUGACGGUAAUGGGUAAAGAAGCACCGGCUAACUACGU